CCUGGCUUAGGACGAACGCUGGCGGCGUGCCUAAUACAUGCAAGUCGAACGGUCUUUCUAUGGAAGCUUGCUUCCACUGAGAAGAUAGUGGCGAACGGGUGAGUAACACGUGGGUAACCUGCCCAUAAGAGGGGGAUAACAUCCGGAAACGGGUGCUAAUACCGCAUAGUUUUCUUGAUCGCAUGAUUGAGAAAGGAAAGACGGCCUUUGUGCUGUCGCUUAUGGAUGGACCCGCGGCGUAUUAGUUAGUUGGUGAGGUAACGGCUCACCAAGACGAUGAUACGUAGCCGACCUGAGAGGGUGAUCGGCCACAUUGGGACUGAGACACGGCCCAAACUCCUACGGGAGGCAGCAGUAGGGAAUCUUCCGCAAUGGACGAAAGUCUGACGGAGCAACGCCGCGUGAGUGAAGAAAAGGUUUUCGGAUCGUAAAACUCUGUUGUCAGAGAAGAACAAGUUGGAGAGUAACUGCUCCAGCCUUGACGGUAUCUGACCAGAAAGCCACGGCUAACUACGUGCCAGCAGCGGC
rnacentral:rRNA from 1 species